UUCCUUAAAAACGGUCCCACCAGGUUCGACCUUAAACGCCUUAAUAUCUCUACUGGAGGGUGGUAGAGAAAUACUUAUUACC
rnacentral:ncRNA from 1 species